UACGUAGGGGGCUAGCGUUGUCCGGAAUCAUUGGGCGUAAAGAGCGUGUAGGCGGCCCGGUAAGUCCGCUGUGAAAGUCGGGGGCUCAACCCUCGAAUGCCGGUGGAUACUGUCGGGCUAGAGUGCGGAAGAGGCGAGUGGAAUUCCUGGUGUAGCGGUGAAAUGCGCAGAUAUCAGGAGGAACACCGAUGGCGAAGGCAGGUCUCUGGGCUGACACUGACGCUCAUGCACGAAAGCGUGGGGAGCAAACAGG
rnacentral:rRNA from 1 species